rnacentral:rRNA from 1 species
GAGUUUGAUCCUGGCUCAGGAUGAACGCUAGCGGCAGGCUUAACACAUGCAAGUCGAGGGGUAACAGGGGCGCUUGCGCCCGCUGACGACCGGCGCACGGGUGCGUAACGCGUAUGCAAUCUACCUUUUACAGGGGGAUAGCCCAGAGAAAUUUGGAUUAAUACCUCAUAGCAUAUGGUCUUGGCAUCAGGACCAUAUUAAAGAUUUAUCGGUAAAAGAUGAGCAUGCGUUCUAUUAGCUGGAUGGUAAGGUAACGGCUUACCAUGGCGACGAUAGAUAGGGGCCCUGAGAGGGGGAUCCCCCACACUGGUACUGAGACACGGACCAGACUCCUACGGGAGGCAGCAGUGAGGAAUAUUGGACAAUGGGCGGGAGCCUGAUCCAGCCAUGCCGCGUGCAGGAAGACUGCCCUAUGGGUUGUAAACUGCUUUUGUACAGGAAGAAACACUCCCUCGUGAGGGAGCUUGACGGUACUGUAAGAAUAAGGAUCGGCUAACUCCGUGCCAGCAGCCGCGGUAAUACGGAGGAUCCAAGCGUUAUCCGGAAUCAUUGGGUUUAAAGGGUCCGUAGGUGGAUGAUUAAGUCAGAGGUGAAAUCCUGCAGCUCAACUGUAGAAUUGCCUUUGAUACUGGUUGUCUUGAAUUAUUGUGAAGUAGUUAGAAUAUGUGGUGUAGCGGUGAAAUGCAUAGAUAUCACAUAGAAUACCGAUUGCGAAGGCAGAUUACUAACAAUACAUUGACACUGAUGGACGAAAGCGUGGGGAGCGAACAGGAUUAGAUACCCUGUAGUCCACGCCGUAAACGAUGGAUACUAGCUGCUCGGAUUUAUCUGAGUGGCUAAGCGAAAGUGAUAAGUAUCCCACCUGGGGAGUACGUUCGCAAGAAUGAAACUCAAAGGAAUUGACGGGGGCCCGCACAAGCGUGGAGCAUGUGUUUAAUUCGAUGAUACGCGAGGAACCUUACCAGGCUUAAAUGUGAUUGACAGGUUAGAAUAAACUUUCUUCGACAUCCACA